GACGAACGCUGGCGGCGUGCCUAAUACAUGCAAGUAGAACGCUGAAGAGAGGAGCUUACUCUUCUUGGAUGAGUUGCGAACGGGUGAGUAACGCGUAGGUAACCUGCCUUGUAGCGGGGGAUAACUAUUGGAAACGAUAGCUAAUACCGCAUAACAAUGGAUGACACAUGUCAUUUAUUUGAAAGGGGCAAUUGCUCCACUACAAGAUGGACCUGCGUUGUAUUAGCUAGUAGGUGAGGUAAUGGCUCACCUAGGCGACGAUACAUAGCCGACCUGAGGGGGUGAUCGGCCACACUGGGACUGAGACACGGCCCAGACUCCUACGGGAGGCAGCAGUAGGGAAUCUUCGGCAAUGGGGGCAACCCUGACCGAGCAACGCCGCGUGAGUGAAGAAGGUUUUCGGAUCGUAAAGCUCUGUUGUAAGUCAAGAACGGGUGUGAGAGUGGAAAGUUCACACUGUGACGGUAGCUUACCAGAAAGGGACGGCUAACUACGUG
rnacentral:rRNA from 1 species